rnacentral:rRNA from 1 species
AUGCGUUGUUGGGUAGGGGAGCGUUCUGUAAGCCUGUGAAGGUGUGCUGUGAGGCAUGCUGGAGGUAUCAGAAGUGCGAAUGCUGACAUAAGUAACGAUAAAGCGGGUGAAAAGCCCGCUCGCCGGAAGACCAAGGGUUCCUGUCCAACGUUAAUCGGGGCAGGGUGAGUCGACCCCUAAGGCGAGGCCGAAAGGCGUAGUCGAUGGGAAACAGGUUAAUAUUCCUGUACUUGGUGUUACUGCGAAGGGGGGACGGAGAAGGCUAUGUUGGCCGGGCGACGGUUGUCCCGGUUUAAGCGUGUAGGCUGGUUUUCCAGGCAAAUCCGGAAAAUCAAGGCUGAGGCGUGAUGACGAGGCACUACGGUGCUGAAGCAACAAAUGCCCUGCUUCCAGGAAAAGCCUCUAAGCAUCAGGUAACAUCAAAUCGUACCCCAAACCGACACAGGUGGUCAGGUAGAGAAUACCAAGGCGCUUGAGAGAACUCGGGUGAAGGAACUAGGCAAAAUGGUGCCGUAACUUCGGGAGAAGGCACGCUGAUAUGUAGGUGAAGUCCCUCGCGGAUGGAGCUGAAAUCAGUCGAAGAUACCAGCUGGCUGCAACUGUUUAUUAAAAACACAGCACUGUGCAAACACGAAAGUGGACGUAUACGGUGUGACGCCUGCCCGG